CAUCCUCACAAUCAAAAUAUCGGUCAUAAGUCUGUUCAAGCAUGAAGUUAUAUGUCAGCAGCCUUUGCAAACCACGUGAAACGUUAGUUCCAGUUGAGCAUGAAUUCCCUGAGGUGAUGCACAGAGGUGAUGCACAGAGGUGUUUUCCCCUCAUGUGUUCCUCUGCAGCUGCUCUGAUGAGGCUAUGCUGUGUGUGAAUGUGAGCACACACACCACUGUGAUGCAGUUUAAGCAGCUUGCCAUGAAUGUGCAUGGGCAGAAUGUUGAAGAGAUUAUUGAGCUGCCGUUUGUUGAACACAGCCAGUGUCAAUGCAGGUUCAGAGACCAACUAUGAUGCUUAUUGGAAACAGCUCGUCCAUGCCACAGAAAUUGUAAUCGGC